UUUUUAUUAAAACAUUUACAGGCCCAAAGUAACAACUAAAGCCCAAAGAAAAUAAUUUAAAGACUUGUUAUUAAUAAUGCAGCCCAAGUAUUAUGUUAAGAAUGUAGAACCCAUUAAAAUAAUAAAAUCAGCCCAUCAGCUCAAUAAAAUCGGCCCAUAGAGAAAAAGAAAAGCCCAAAACAACUUAAGCCCAAAUUAAAGUCAAGGAAGCCCUAAACAAAGUCAAAAGAAAAAAAAAUAAGAAAUUAAAACAAAAGGGUCUCUCUCUCUCCUCACUCCAUCCAUCGGCCCUCCCUCUCUUCCUCACCGCCCUCUCUCUCUUCUCCCUGAACCACCGCCGCUUCUCCCUCCAAGAUCUGCCGCCGCCGCCCGCUCCAUCCCCGGCGAGGAUCGCCGGCUCUGAGGCCUCCCUCACUCAUCGCCGUCUCCUCCGUCUCUUCCUCCUGGCGCACAUCAGGCGGCCGAAGAGCGCCGCCGCCGCUGCCGCCUGCAGCCACUCCAGCGAGACUCGCCGUCAGCCGCCUCGCGCCCCCUCCUCCUUUGCGUCCUCUGCGGCGGACGGCCGAGGGAGACCGCCGCCGCUGCUGCCGUUUUCGCAGCGGGCAGCGCGCCUGGCCUCCGGCCGCGCCACCGCCAGCCACCGGCGUCUCCUCUCACGGCCCAGUCCUUCUCCGUCAUCUCUCCCUCUGCAUGUGGUGGUCAGCCACCUAGGCGACGUUUCCACCACAGCAGCGCUGCCGCCCAGCCUGCUCUUCCUCCUCCCUCGCGGCCGGUCGAGCAAUCGGCGUCUUGGAAGCUGCCGUGCCGCCGCCGUCCUCACACCGGGCAGAAGACUCUCCUCCUCCCCUUUUCUCUCCGGCCAUUACCAAAGGAAAACGGAAAUUCCCUCCCCCCCCUCUUUCGACAGUUCACAAACAGUCCAAGGAAGAAGAGAAUUUGUUCUUAAAAGGAAGAUAUGAUCUUGAAGAAGAUUAAAUUUUGGUGCAGAUUUGAUUUCUGUUUCCUUUCUCUUGUAUUCUCUUAUUGGUUCAAGGCAAUACAGUGAGCAAGAUCAUGUCAAAGUUCUUGUUGUGGUCUAAGGGUUUGAGUUCUAAGUCCAAAUUUAUCAAGUGUAUGGUAAGAAAAGUAAAGUUU
rnacentral:lncRNA from 1 species